AGAGUUUGAUCCUGGCUCAGGAUGAACGCUAGCGGCAGGCUUAACACAUGCAAGUCGAGGGGCAGCGGGGAGGAAGCUUGCUUUCUCCGCCGGCGACCGGCGCACGGGUGAGUAACACGUAUGCAACCUGCCCCUGUCAGGGGGACAACCCGCCGAAAGGCGGGCUAAACCCGCGUACAUGCCACCGGGGCAUCCCGGAGGCAGGAAAGGCUUCAGCCGGACAGGGAUGGGCAUGCGGCGCAUUAGGCAGUAGGCGGGGUAACGGCCCACCUAACCGACGAUGCGUAGGGGUUCUGAGAGGAAGGUCCCCCACACUGGUACUGAGACACGGACCAGACUCCUACGGGAGGCAGCAGUGAGGAAUAUUGGUCAAUGGUCGGGAGACUGAACCAGCCAAGCCGCGUGAGGGAGGAAGGUACAGAGUAUCGUAAACCUCUUUUGUCAGGGAACAAAGACUGGGACGCGUCCCCGGAUGAGUGUACCUGAAGAAAAAGCAUCGGCUAACUCCGUGCCAGCAGCCGCGGUAAUACGGAGGAUGCGAGCGUUAUCCGGAUUUAUUGGGUUUAAAGGGUGCGCAGGCGGUCUGUUAAGUCAGCGGUCAAAGCCCGGGGCUCAACCCCGGCCCGCCGUUGAAACUGGCAGUCUCGAGUUGGAGAGAAGUAUGCGGAAUGCGCGGUGUAGCGGUGAAAUGCAUAGAUAUCGCGCAGAACUCCGAUUGCGAAGGCAGCAUGCCGGCUCCACACUGACGCUGAGGCACGAAAGCGUGGGUAUCGAACAGGAUUAGAUACCCUGGUAGUCCACGCAGUAAACGAUGAAUGCUGGCUGUCCGGGGGGACUGACCCCUGGGUGGCGAAGCGAAAGCGAUAAGCAUUCCACCUGGGGAGUACGCCGGCAACGGUGAAACUCAAAGGAAUUGACGGGGGCCCGCACAAGCGGAGGAACAUGUGGUUUAAUUCGAUGAUACGCGAGGAACCUUACCCGGGCUCAAACGGGGAGUGGCGCAGGCAGAGACGCCUGUUUCCCACGGGACACUCCCCGAGGUGCUGCAUGGUUGUCGUCAGCUCGUGCCGUGAGGUGUCGGCUUAAGUGCCAUAACGAGCGCAACCCCCGCGUGCAGUUGCUAACAGUCAACGCUGAGGACUCUGCACGGACUGCCGGCGCAAGCCGCGAGGAAGGCGGGGAUGACGUCAAAUCAGCACGGCCCUUACGUCCGGGGCGACACACGUGUUACAAUGGGUGGUACAGCGGGAAGCCAGGCGGCGACGCCGAGCGGAACCCGAAAUCCACUCUCAGUUCGGAUCGGAGUCUGCAACCCGACUCCGUGAAGCUGGAUUCGCUAGUAAUCGCGCAUCAGCCAUGGCGCGGUGAAUACGUUCCCGGGCCUUGCACUCACCGCCCGUCAAG
rnacentral:rRNA from 1 species